rnacentral:tRNA from 1 species
GCGGAUGUGGCGAAUUGGCAGGACGCAUAAGAUUUAGGAUUCUAGCGCUUAACGCCGUGCGGGUUCAAGUCCCUUCAUCCCGCCA